rnacentral:rRNA from 1 species
CCUUCGGGUGGCAGCAGUGGGGAAUAUUGCACAAUGGGGGCAACCCUGAUGCAGCGACGCCGCGUGAGUGAAGAAGGCAUUCGUUAUGUAAAGCUCUAUCAGCAGGGAAGAAAAUGACGGUACCUGAGUCAGAAGCCCAGGCUAACUACGUGCCAGCAGCCGCGGUAAUACGUAGGGGGCAAGCGUUAUCCGGAUGUACUGGGUGUAAAGGGAGCGUAGACGGCCGUGCAAGUCUGGAGUGAAAGGCGGGGGCUCAACCCACGGACUGCGCUGGAAACUGUACGGUUUGAGUGCAGGAGAGGUAAGUGGAAUUCCUAGUGUAGCGGUGAAAUGCGUAGAGAUUAGGAGGAACACCAGUGGCGAAGGCGGCUUACUGGACUGUAACUGACGUUGAGGCUCGAAAGCGUGGGGAGCAAACAGGAUUAGAUACCCGGGUAGUC